GACGAACGCUGGCGGCGUGCUUAACACAUGCAAGUCGAACGGAAAGGCCCUGCUUUUGUGGGGUGCUCGAGUGGCGAACGGGUGAGUAACACGUGAGUAACCUGCCCUUGACUUUGGGAUAACUUCAGGAAACUGGGGCUAAUACCGGAUAGGAGCUCCUGCUGCAUGGUGGGGGUUGGAAAGUUUCGGCGGUUGGGGAUGGACUCGCGGCUUAUCAGCUUGUUGGUGGGGUAGUGGCUUACCAAGGCUUUGACGGGUAGCCGGCCUGAGAGGGUGACCGGCCACAUUGGGACUGAGAUACGGCCCAGACUCCUCCGGGAGGCAGCAGUGGGGAAUAUUGCACAAUGGGCGGAAGCCUGAUGCAGCAACGCCGCGUGCGGGAUGACGGCCUUCGGGUUGUAAACCGCUUUCGCCUGUGACGAAGCGUGAGUGACGGUAAUGGGUAGAGAAGCACCGGCUAACUACGUG
rnacentral:rRNA from 1 species